AAAGGGUGUGUAGGCGGGCUGUUAAGUCCGUGGUGAAAUCCCAAGGCUCAACCUUGGAACUGCCAUGGAUACUAAUGGUCUUGAAUAUUGAUGAGGUGGGCGGAACGGGUCAUGUAGCGGUGAAAUGCUUAGAGAUGACCCGGAACACCGAUUGCGAAGGCAGCUCACUGGGCAAUUAUUGACGCUGAGGCACGAAAGCGUGGGGAUCAAACAGGAUUAGAUACCCGUGU
rnacentral:rRNA from 1 species